UACGAAGGGGGCUAGCGUUGCUCGGAAUUACUGGGCGUAAAGGGCGCGUAGGCGGAUAUCUAAGUUGGGGGUGAAAUCCCGGGGCUCAACCUCGGAAUUGCCUUCAAAACUGGAUAUCUUGAGUUCGGGAGAGGUGAGUGGAACUCCGAGUGUAGAGGUGAAAUUCGUAGAUAUUCGGAAGAACACCAGUGGCGAAGGCGACUCACUGGCCCGAUACUGACGCUGAGGCACGAAAGCGUGGGGAGCAAACAGG
rnacentral:rRNA from 1 species